UACGUAGGGGGCAAGCGUUGUCCGGAUUUAUUGGGCGUAAAGAGCGUGUAGGCGGCCAGACAGGUCCGUUGUGAAAACUCGAGGCUCAACCUCGAGACGUCGAUGGAAACCGUCUGGCUAGAGUCCGGAAGAGGAGAGUGGAAUUCCUGGUGUAGCGGUGAAAUGCGCAGAUAUCAGGAAGAACACCCGUGGCGAAGGCGGCUCUCUGGGACGGUACUGACGCUGAGACGCGGAAAGCGUGGGGAGCGAACAGG
rnacentral:rRNA from 1 species